rnacentral:rRNA from 1 species
UACGGGGGGAGCAAGCGUUGUUCGGAUUUACUGGGCGUAAAGGGCGCGUAGGCGGUCAGCACAAGUCAGUUGUGAAAUCUCCGGGCUUAACUCGGAAAGGUCAACUGAUACUGUGCGACUAGAGUGCAGAAGGGGCAACUGGAAUUCCUGGUGUAGCGGUGAAAUGCGCAGAUAUCAGGAAGAACACCCGUGGCGAAAGCGGCUCUCUGGAACGGUACUGACGCUGAGACGCGAAAGCGUGGGGAGCGAACAGG